UGCUGAGCUGAAGUCGAUGACCAGUCUUUAGUCUCCAGGUGGGUGAGGGCUGAGUGGAGGGCAGCAGAGAUGGCGUCAUCAAUCGGAGGUCGGACAACCUCAAAAUUGACUCAAAAAUAAUGAAACUCAGAGUUGAAAUAUAACCACUUCCAGUUUAAAGGGCCAAGAAGCUGCUGGAAUAUUGUCCACAUAAUAUUGUCCCGGAGACCCUAACUGUACAUUUAUAACAUCAAACAUUUCUCUGUUCACAUUAUUGUUAACUGGACUAAAACUGAGCGUUUCACAACCCAAAUGUUUAACGUCCUUCAGGUCCAAUGUGUCUGUCACUGCUCUACUCUCCACCGCUCAUAUAUGUCGUUUUGGGAGUUAUUGGCAAUCAACCAAUAAUGUUUGUGUGAAAGCUGCUCAGCCAGUUUCUUUCCAUUCCAACGGCUGCUUCUCUGGAAACAGUUUAAAGUGAAACAAAAGUUUUCUCCUCACAGUGUCGGAAGAUUAUCAGGAGGAGGAAAGUGACAACUGGCUGUGAACUGAAUGUGUUUUUCAAGUGUUCGUUUAGUGAGAAGCAGAUUAAUGAGGACUUUGUGGUUGUUGUAGUUUUUACAGGAAGGUGAAGAUGUUUGUGGUGUUUGUGAUCCUCGUGCACGUUUCCCAGCAUGCCUCAACUGUGGAUCUGUAUGAGGGGGAGGAGUUUGUCCUGCUGCCCUGUGAGUUUCAAACCUUUGAGAUGAUCUACCCCACAGUGGUGUGGAGCCGCUGUGAACUCAAUCCUCCAACCGUCCACCAGCGUCAGCAGGAAGGUGAUGAACUCAAAGACCAAAACCAGCUUUACAGCGGCCGAACAUCCAUGAUGGCUGACGCUCUGGAAACUGGAGACCUCAGCCUCAAUCUGACAAAACUCCGCCUCUCUGACAGCGGCACCUACACCUGCACUGCAGGACAACGGAGAGUGAGUGAAGUACAGCUGCAGAUCAAAGGUCAGCAACAAACCUUAAAACCUAUUCUAGAUUGGUGAUUCCCAAUUGAGGGUCAUAAAGGUAUUUUUUGGGGCUUUUUUAUUGCCUUUAUUUGAUAGGACAGCUGAAGAUAGACAGGAAAGGGGGGCAGAGAGAGGGGAUGACAUGCAGCAAAGGGCCACAGGUUGGAUUUGAACCCUGGGCCGCUGUAGCAAGGAUUCACCAUCGGUACAUGGGUUGCCAGCUCUACCCACUGAGCUAACUGGGCACCCAAGGGUUGCAAAAGUUUAAUGGGGUGUUGUGAAGCUUUCUUAAUUUGUUGGUGUGCAAGAAAACUAAACGAAAAUAUACACAGUAGGCCUAUAUCUCAGCAUUUGGUUCAGGAUCAGGGACAAGAAAACACUGAAUUUGUCAGAAAAGACUAUUAAGUUGUAUUAUUGUUACAAAUAAUGAAUAAAUAUAUAAUAUAGACAGAGAAUCAUUUAAAAAAGUUCCUUCAACAAUCUGUUCAAAAUUCAUUUAAAUCACCUGUUUUACACAAGCUUCUUGCAGUUACUGAGUUCACUGUUUGGCUAAAUUGUAGUUUUUAAUAAAAUAUGUCAGGGGUUGUCAGUUUACUAAAUGAUAGAAAAGGGGUCCUUCAAGAUAAAAGGUUUGGAACCACAGGUCUAGAUAUAGGUCUAUAGAAAGAAGUCAGUGGUCAGUGCUUCAGAUACGGGUCAGAGGUCAGUUUUCUAGUUUACAGGCUACACACACUUUAGAGGACGUUUACUUUGUCAAAGUGCUUCAACAACUGAACAUCAUUUAGUACAAGAUGGACACAGAUGAUCCCAAACACUCAGGGUCUGUCUCAUCUGUAUGAAUGUCUCCACAUGUCCAUCAGUCCUGUCUUCUCCCUGAGUAUCAGUGGCUCCUGACGAAGAUGUGAUGGAGAGAUAGAAGGAAAAGAUGUGAGGAAAGAGGAGUUCAGACAGUUAACACACUCAUUUAAACACCAUGUUGAAUCAAUGAAGUCAGUCUAUCAGUUUGUUCUGUUAUUUGUCUUAUUGAUAUUAAACUGUGCUCAUGUGGUUUUCAAAGCAGUCUGUUCAGCUGCAGAGUCCGAUCACAAACAGGACCAGAUUGAGGAUCCAGGAGCAAUAAGAUCUGAAAUAAGGCUGCUGUGAUUGAACCUCUCUGUCUGUGUGACCUCACAGUUUCCCAGCAUGCCUCAGUUGAAAGGGGUAUGAGGGGGAUGAGUUUGUCCUGCUGCCCUGUGAGUAUCACACAUUCGAUGUGGACAACCCCACAGUGGUGUGGAGACGCUACGAUCUCAAUCCUCCAACCGUCCACCAGCGUCAGCAGGAAGGUGAUGAACUUAAAGACCAAAACCAGCUUUACAGCGGCCGAACAUCCAUGAUGGCUGACGCUCUGGAAACUGGAGACCUCAGCCUCAAUCUGACAAAACUCCACAUCUCUGACAGCGGCACCUACACCUGCACCGCCAGAGCAUUAGGAGGACAACGGAGAGUGAGAAACAUACAGCUGCAGGUCAAAGGUCAGCAACAAACCCUAAAAACUAAUAUAUAUAGGUCAGAGGUCAGUACUGUAGAUAUAGGUCAGAGGUCAGAACUGUAGAUAUAGGUCACAGGUCAAUACUGUAGAUACAGGUCAGAGGUCAGUACUGUAGAUAUAGGUCAAAGGUUCAUGUUCUUUAUGUUUCUGUUUCCCACAGAACGAUUUCCAUUCUGGGCUAAAGCUCUCCUGGUUCUCCUGGUUCUCCUGGUUCUCAGUCUUAUUGUUGGGGGUCUUUUGGUGCAUUUUCGGCAGUAUUUCAUGUCAGGUAUGUCACUACUACAUUACCCAUAAUGCCGAUGGUUAUCGUCUUUGCUCCUUGACUGCUCCUUGACGGUUUUGUGGUUUUCAUAGAAGUAUGGGACAGUGAGGUCUGGGAUUAUAAACCGAGGGUCACACUGUCUACCUGAGCAGCUGCAGCAUAAAGAGACAGUGAAAAUAGUCUGUUCAUAGUCAUAUCAACAUUAUACAGGCAACAUAUUCACCUUUCACUGUAGUUUCAAUGUCUGUAUCUGUAGAAUGUCGCACACAAGAAAAAUAUAAGUUUAAAUUACUGAAUACAUUUAUUUUUUAUAAAUUUUUAUUAAAAGCUCUCAGGCGUUUCUAUGGACAGAAUCACUUCACAU
rnacentral:lncRNA from 15 species